rnacentral:misc_RNA from 1 species
UUUCCGUAGGUGAACCUGCGGAAGGAUCAUUAUCGUAAGGGCUCCGGCCCCUUCGAGAUAGCACCCUUGCCUUUGAGUACUGUACGUUUCCUCGGCGGGUACGCCUGCCAACGGGGACCACCCAAAACCUUUUGCAAUGAGUGGUAAUCGUCUGAUCAAAAACACAAUAUCAAAACUUUCAACAAUGGAUCUCUUGGUUCUGGCAUCGAUGAAGAACGCAGC